GACCUCUCAAAAAUGAUGGAGAGCGGUUUGACAAUGACCUCUGCCAGCUCCCUCAGCACACGUGGAUGACUACUUACUAGAAGACUACUUACAGGUGUGAGAUACUGAAAAAAAUAAAUAAGUUACAGCCAGAAAGAUUAAUGCAGUGCAAGGGUGAUACAAGAGUGUAACAGAAAAGGGACUACCACAGAGAGGAUGAUAUUCCAAAAGAAAAGUAAAGAUACCCCAUCUCUAAAACUCUAGGCUUACAGGAAAGACUCUACCUGUCAUGCCUUCACCUGUGCUUCCAGGGUGAUGGGGAGGGGGGGCCUUUCCCAGGUGCACUGUGACUCAGCAGUUAUCAUACAAACAUGAUUUUUUUUUUUAAUUGAAGAGAAAACUUUAGCUUAUUUCUGGAACAGUAGAAAUCAAUUUUUGAAGAGCCAGAAUCCACUUACAGAAAAACAGCACAUUGAUUAUAAAUGGUGUUUUCAUCUCUAAUAGAAAUGCUAAGUCAUGACCUGCAGCACUGAUUGAGCACCUGGUGGGAAGGCAGAGUCAACCUAGGGGAGCUCAGGUGCAUGCAAUAGCCCUGAGUGACUGGAAGGGGUGGAGUCAGGAUCCAGCCCUUCUCAGCCCUCAUUUAAGGUUUGGCAGUGGAGCUAAGAAUAUUUCUCUGGAGAUCCUUGUAUGCUGAAGGCCUUCCAAAGACAUGAUCUGCUUCUCUGAAAGAUGCUCAGCUUUUCAGAGGCAUGAGAAUCACCUAGGAAAGGUGGAAUGACAGCCUGCUUUCAGCCUUCAAACCUAAUUUGAUCAUGACAGGAUUACUUCUAAAUUCCAUGAUCUCAACCCUGUUCACUGCUUCUGUGAGCUACAGGACACUGCUGCAUACAGGUGGCAUCCAUCAGUGAAACAAAUCCCUCUUGAUGAAGAUGGGCAGAGGCUGAGCAAUCUGUUGCUGAUACUCCUCAGGAAAGCUCCUGGAAGCCCUUGCUCCAGCUGGCUGCAAUAAGUCUGCAGGUGCCAUCGCUCCAAUCACUGCCACGUAAGCUGAUGGGUAACCCUCUGCUCAGAAUCACAGAGGGGAGUCAGUGUGUGACCUUCUCCUCUGCUAUGAUGGGAACCUCCUGUGCAGUGCUCAGGUGUGACAUACUGCUGUGUGCUUUCUGCAGUGCUGCAAACCCUUAUGCUUAAAGGAAGAGAGCUAUUCUCAUAGGGCUGUGAUUACCUGAGUGUGACCCUGCAGGGAAAAUACUGUACUGAUGGCAACUUCAAAACAGAUCCUCUCCAGUCCAGCUCCUAAGUUGCUCUUCAAGAAUCUGUGAGAGAAGAAAUAAAAAAUACUCAGCUGAUCUAACAGUGGCUGUUAAACUCAAGUACCUCUGUUAGGAUUCUCAUCCCCUCAGCCUCUGCUGCAGUCACUGACUUUGGUAGGUCUCUUUCUACUGAAGCUAGUUUUCUCCAAGACAAAGAGGAGCUGCAGGAGGGCCUUCUGUGAAAGAUCACUGCCAGGCUUCCCUAUGGCAUUACAGCUUUCACCAGGCUGCAGAAAUGCGUCUGAGCCCAGUGCCUGGCGCGUGCCCUGCAGACCUGGGAGCUCAUAAUCAAAAUGGCAAAUGCUUCUCAGACAUGAGCCAGGGGCAGGGCUGACCCUUGCCUAUCCUACCGCAAUACAGAAAAGCUGUUUUUAAAACUAAGCUGGAGUCCAUGUAGGCGUCUCUGGAUGGGUGGCACUGCAGCUGCCAUGCUGGUCCAGGUGCAUCCUGACCCUGGAAUUAGCUCAUGCUAUCUCGAGGACAACUUGGUCUGUAAUAUUUUAGUUUACAGCAGCUGUUGCACAUAAUGUUAUCGCUCUUACAAAGGGAGGCAGAGAUGCAGAGACCUACCAGCCAGAUAAUGAAAGGCCCGACAAAGAACAAAAAGCAGCAGCUAGUCAUUGCAGAGAUACGCCGCUCCCAGGAAAUUAAAAAUAUGCCAACCACGGCACACGCAAUAAACAUCUCCUU